GGGCCCGCACAAGCGGUGGAGCAUGUGGUUUAAUUCGAUGAUACGCGAGGAACCUUACCAGGGCUUAAAUGGGAAAUGACAGGGGCAGAGACGCCCCCUUCUUCGGACAUUUUUCAAGGUGCUGCAUGGUUGUCGUCAGCUCGUGCCGUGAGGUGUUAGGUUAAGUCCUGCAACGAGCGCAACCCCUACCGUUAGUUGCCAGCGAUUCAAGUCGGGGACUCUAACGGGACUGCCGGUGCAAACCGUGAGGAAGGUGGGGACGACGUCAAAUCAUCACGGCCCUUACAUCCUGGCCACACACGUGCUACAAUGGUAGUGACAGAGGGCAGCCACUGGGUGACCAGGAGCGAA
rnacentral:rRNA from 1 species